UAUCGUAUCAUUUCAUAAGAAAUGAAGAUUGAAUUCAUCUGCAUUUUAAUAUUUUCUGGACUUCUUAGGGAAUCCAGCGCAGAAUGCGAGAGGGAAGAGGAAUGCGAGUUUGAGAAACUGAAAAGGAAUAUUCUAAUAUUUGCCGGUGCCAUCCUAGGAUUCGCAAUACUUGUAGGUCUCUCUACAUAUGUCGUCUACAGACUGCGUAACAAAAAA